GGUGAAGCAACAAGGUUAGGCACAUGCAGCGAUGAUGAGGUGAGGCAACGGGCCGAGAAUGAAAAAUUAGCCUGAGAGCUUUCAAGGUAGAUCCAUUGUGAGCCAUGAGAUCAAGAGCUAGUGCCUUAAGGAGUAUAGAGGCAGGAUCUCUAAGAUAGAGAGAGAUUGCAGUUUCAGCUUACUGGAUUGCAAGGAGGCUCUUUUCUUGCUGCAAAGCUUGGCUAGAGCUUGUUUGGGAAAAUAUUGGAUGGCUAUGACAUGGCAAUGACAGAUAUGGUG
rnacentral:misc_RNA from 1 species